AUUAAGCGUACUUGUGGGUUUUAGUGUCCAACGUUUGACCGUCUUUCUUAUUUAAUUUUUUUUAUAAUUUGUAUUUUUAUUGUUAUUAGAUGAUAAGAUAUAAAUAGUAAUUUAUGUGUGACUUAAUUUUUAAAACUUUUUUUAUAAAUUUUUUAAAUAAGAUGGACGGUUAGAUAUUGGAUAAAAAAGUUAUGGUUGUAUUUAAA
rfam:Oryza nivara chromosome 1, whole genome shotgun sequence.